rnacentral:lncRNA from 1 species
UCUACAAAAAGAGUGUUUCCAAACUGCUCAAUCAAAAGGAAGUUUCAACUCUGUGAGAUGAAUGCACACAUCACAAAGAAGUUUCUCAGAAUUCUUCUGUCUAGUUUUUAUGGGAAGAUAUUUCCUUUUCCACCAUAGGCCUAAAAGCGCUCCAAAUUUUCACUUGCAGAUUCUACAAACAGAGAGUUUCAAAACUGCUCAAUCAAAAAAAAGUUUUAACUCUGUGAGAUGAAAGCACACAUCACAAAGAAGUUUCUCAGUAUUCUUCAAUCUGGUUUUGAUGUGAAGAUAUUUUCUUUUCCACAUUGUCCUCAAACCGCUCCAAAUGUACACUUCCAGAUUCUACAAAAACAGAGUUUAAAAAAUGCUCCAUCAAAAGAAAUGUUUAAGUCUCUGAGAAGAAUGCACACAUCACAAAUUAUUUUCUCAUAUUGCUUCUGUCUAGAUUUUAUUUGCAGGUAUUUCCUUUUCUACCACUGGCCACAAAGCGCUCCAAAUCUGCACUUGCAGAUUCUGCAAAAGGAGUGCUUCCAAAAUGCUCAAUCAAAAUGAAGGUUCAACUCAGUGAGAUUAAUGCACACAUCACAAAGAAGUUUCUCAGAAUUCUUCUGUCUAGUAUUUAU